UGCGAAGGUGGCUAGCGUUGUUCGGAAUUACUGGGCGUAAAGCGCGCGUAGGCGGCUAUUCAAGUCAGAGGUGAAAUGCCAGGGCUUAACCCUGGAACUGCCUUUGAAACUGUAUAGCUGGAGUGUCGGAGGGGAUGGCGGAAUUCCUAAUGUAGAGGUGAAAUUCGUAGAUAUUAGGAGGAACACCGGUGGCGAAGGCGGCCAUCUGGACGACAACUGACGCUGAGGCGCGAAAGCGUGGGGAUCAAACAGG
rnacentral:rRNA from 1 species